UGAGUAACACGUGAGUAACCUGCCCUCAGGAAGGGGAUAACCCGGGGAAACUCGGGCUAAUACCCUAUAAUGUCUGGAGUCACUGAGGCUCCAGACCAAAGGUGGCCUCUGCUCUGCAUGCUACCGCCUGAGGAGGGGCUCGCGGCCCAUCAGGUAGUUGGUGGGGUAACGGCCUACCAAGCCUAUGACGGGUAGCCGGCCUGAGAGGGUGUCCGGCCACAGUGGGACUGAGACACGGCCCACACCCCUACGGGGGGCAGCAGUGGGGAAUCGUGGGCAAUGGGCGAAAGCCUGACCCCGCGACGCCGCGUGGAGGAAGAAGCCCUUCGGGGUGUAAACUCCUGUCAGGGGGGAAGAUGCUCACAGGGGUGAAUAAUCUCUGUGGGUGACGGUACCCCCAGAGGAAGGGACGGCUAACUACGUGCCAGCAGCCGCGGUAAUACGUAGGUCCCGAGCGUUGCGCGAAUUCACUGGGCGUAAAGCGUCCGCAGCCGGAUGGGUAAGCGGUUCGUCAAAGCCCACCGCUC
rnacentral:rRNA from 1 species